rnacentral:rRNA from 1 species
AACGCGAAGAACCUUACCAAGGCUUGACAUGCUGGUGGUAGGCGCCGGAAACGGUGGCCGACCCUUCGGGGAGCCAGCACAGGUGCUGCAUGGCUGUCGUCAGCUCGUGUCGUGAGAUGUUGGGUUAAGUCCCGCAACGAGCGCAACCCCCGCCCUGUGUUGCCAGCAUUAAGUUGGGGACUCACAGGGGACUGCCGGUGACAAACCGGAGGAAGGUGGGGAUGACGUCAAGUCAUCAUGGCCCUUGUGAUUUGGGCUACACACGUGCUACAAUGGACAAUACAAAGGGCAGCGAAACCGCGAGGUCAAGCAAAUCCCAUAAAGUUGUUCUCAGUUCGGAUUGUAGUCUGCAACUCGACUAUAUGAAGGCGGAGUGCUAGUAAUCGCGAUCAGC